rnacentral:rRNA from 1 species
GGGUGAGUAAUGUCUGGGAAACUGCCCGAUGGAGGGGGAUAACUACUGGAAACGGUAGCUAAUACCGCAUAACGUCGCAAGACCAAAGAGGGGGACCUUCGGGCCUCUUGCCAUCGGAUGUGCCCAGAUGGGAUUAGCUAGUAGGUGGGGUAACGGCUCACCUAGGCGACGAUCCCUAGCUGGUCUGAGAGGAUGACCAGCCACACUGGAACUGAGACACGGUCCAG